CCUACGGGAGGCAGCAGUGAGGAAUAUUGGUCAAUGGGCGCGAGCCUGAACCAGCCAAGUCGCGUGAGGGAUGACGGCCCUACGGGUUGUAAACCUCUUUUGCCGGGGAGCAACGGGCGCCACGUGUGGCGCCACUGAGAGUACCCGGAGAACAAGCAUCGGCUAACUCCGUGCCAGCAGCCGCGGUAAUACGGAGGAUGCGAGCGUUAUCCGGAUUUAUAGGGUUUAAAGGGUGCGUAGGCGGGCUUUUAAGUCAGCGGUAAAAAUUCGGGGCUCAACCCCGUCCGGCCGUUGAAACUGGGGGCCUUGAGUGGGCGAGAAGAAGGCGGAAUGCGUGGUGUAGCGGUGAAAUGCAUAGAUAUCACGCAGAACCCCGAUUGCGAAGGCAGCCUGCCAAGCCAUGACUGACGCUGAUGCACGAAAGCGUGGGGAUCAAACAGGAUUAGAUACCCCGGUAGUC
rnacentral:rRNA from 1 species